CCUACGGGUGGCAGCAGUGGGGAAUAUUGCACAAUGGGGGAAACCCUGAUGCAGCGACGCCGCGUGAGUGAAGAAGUAUUUCGGUACGUAAAGCUCUAUCAGCAGGGAAGAAAAUGACGGUACCUGACUAAGAAGCCCCGGCUAACUACGUGCCAGCAGCCGCGGUAAUACGUAGGGGGCAAGCGUUAUCCGGAUUUACUGGGUGUAAAGGGAGCGUAGACGGCAGCGCAAGUCUGGAGUGAAAUCCCAUGGCUUAACCAUGGAACUGCUUUGGACACGGUGCAGCUAGAGUGCAGGAGAGGUAAGCGGAAUUCCUAGUGUAGCGGUGAAAUGCGUAGAUAUUAGGAGGAACACCAGUGGCGAAGGCGGCUUACUGGACUGUAACUGACGUUGAGGCUCGAAAGCGUGGGGAGCAAACAGGAUUAGAUACCCCGGUAGUC
rnacentral:rRNA from 1 species